ACUAUCGGGCCUCGUGGUGUAGCGGUUAUCACGUCAGUCUUACACACUGAAGGUCGCCGGUUCGAACCCGGCCGAGGUCAA
rnacentral:tRNA from 1 species